CGCGCGAUAGCCAAGCGGCCCGGCAGCAGUCUGCAAAACUGAAGAGGACGGUUCAACUCCGUCUCGCGCGUCCA
rnacentral:tRNA from 1 species